CCGACCGGCGCACGGGUGAGUAACACGUAUGCAAUCCACCUGUAACAGGGGGAGUAACCCGGAGAAAUCCGGACUAAUACCCCAUAAUAUGGGCUCUCCGCAUGGAGGGUCCAUUAAAGAGAGCAAUUUUGGUUACAGACGAGCAUGCGCUCCAUUAGCCAGUUGGCGGGGUAACGGCCCACCAAAGCGACGAUGGAUAGGGGUUCUGAGAGGAAGGUCCCCCACAUUGGAACUGAGACACGGUCCAA
rnacentral:rRNA from 1 species